AAGUGUAUUUUCUUGAUUUCCGAUCACAGUAAAUGUUUAUGUGAUUAUACUGGCCGUGUGUAAUAUAUGUUAAACUAAUUAGAUGAGCUCAACGCCGUGACUUUGCUCGCUUGAUUGUUUUCACUUCCGGUCACUUCACGUUAGCUUCAUAAUAAAGCAAGCUAAAAUAACGUAUAUAAAAAGCAUAUUAUAUCUUUUUAAUAUUUUCUCGAGAUAGUUAGCACUAAGUUGGCGGUGAGAAACCUCAUUUAAUUGAGCUGUUUUUAGAAUAAAUGGCGGUUUGGAGCACUAUUCAUUAACACAACUCAGAUAUCACUGUCAUGGAAAUCCUUUGUGCAUCAAGCUUUUUGGAGUCGCAUUUUCUUCCCAAAGUUAACUGUCAGGGACUGUUUUCCUUCAGCAAAGAUUGAAAUCAUGAUGGCACCGUCUAGGAUGGACUCUCAGCUGACACCCUGGCAAUUUCAGAUUCACUUCAGCAAGAUAAGGGUCUGCUGGGAAUUCAUAUCUGUGCACACUCGAGGUUCGCAGCAAAAAAAAAAGAGACAUAUAUUUGAAUUGCAGAUAGUAGCUCGACAGCUCCAGGAAGACAUUAAAAAAAACAACAACCAAUAAAUCUUUGGGAAACCUUGGCAUUUCACAAUUGAUGGCACAGAUAUUCUACAAUUUCUUGUCAAAACUGUAGAGGAUGUUGAUUACUUAUACACAAACUUCAAAAACAGUAUACUAUAAAUAACAGUAUAUAGUGCAUUCUGUGUAUACAGUUAAUAGAUAGAAUAGAAUUGGCACACAAUCUUGGCUCUUUUUAGUCAAUAUUUAUGUGCUUGUAAAAUAUGCUGGCUGCUGACACGGCUGGCUGUUUAUGUUGCUCUUGUGUUGUUGCUGUUAUGAAUGUACAGAUUCUCAGUGGUAUCAAUUCUGAAUUAAUUUGUCUUUGUGAAUGAGCUAAUUUACCUCUGGCUGUUGUUUGGCACGUGUAUUAUUAUGCUUCCAUAAUGUUGAUUUUUGCUGUCAUCAAAUAAGAUUAAGGAUGUCUGAGUAGUGAGUAAUAUGGGCAUUGCAUUGUAUUCCCCUCAGAUUUGUUGUUGUUGUUGUUUUGUAACCAACCCUGAGGCUAAGAGUAAUACUCUGUUGUUUACAUCGCUAGGGCCAACUAAGUGUCGUCUUUGUCAUAUACUUAUUUUCUCUCAUUUUUAGACAAUAUAUACAUUUUUUCAUACUAAUGCAGCUUUGUAUGAUGUGGUUCUUCCAAAAGUUAGCGCUCAGCUGACGCUCAUCACUGGUUCACUUUAAUAAGGUUGUUGCUUGUGCUAACAUGUGAGUUUAUGUCUUGGCUCUGUUUAGUCAGGUGCUCAGAAAGAUGGCUGCUGGUUGAAUUUGUCGCUCUCUGUAGAUCUGAUUCUGGUUGA